GAUGAACGCUGGCGGCGUGCUUAACACAUGCAAGUCGAACGAUGAAGCCCAGCUUGCUGGGUGGAUUAGUGGCGAACGGGUGAGUAACACGUGAGUAACCUGCCCUUAACUCUGGGAUAAGCCUGGGAAACUGGGUCUAAUACCGUAUAGGAGCGCCUACCGCAUGGUGGGUGUUGGAAAGAUUUAUCGGUUUUGGAUGGACUCGCGGCCUAUCAGCUUGUUGGUGAGGUAAUGGCUCACCAAGGCGACGACGGGUAGCCGGCCUGAGAGGGUGACCGGCCACACUGGGACUGAGACACGGCCCAGACUCCUACGGGAGGCAGCAGUGGGGAAUAUUGCACAAUGGGCGCAAGCCUGAUGCAGCGACGCCGCGUGAGGGAUGACGGCCUUCGGGUUGUAAACCUCUUUCAGUAGGGAAGAAGCGAAAGUGACGGUACCUGCAGAAGAAGCACCGGCUAACUACGUG
rnacentral:rRNA from 1 species